rnacentral:rRNA from 1 species
CGGAUUGCAGCCUGCAACUCGGCUGCAUGAAGCUGGAAUCGCUAGUAAUCGCGGAUCAGAAUGCCGCGGUGAAUGCGUUCCCGGGUCUUGUACACACCGCCCGUCACACCAUGGAAGUUGGGGGCGCCCGAAGUUGCCUAAGAAAUAAGGUACCUAAGGCGAAACCAAUGACUGGGUGAAGUCGUAACAAGGUAUC